rnacentral:rRNA from 1 species
GGUGAACGCUGGCGGCGUGCCUAACACAUGCAAGUCGAGCGGGUACCCGCAAGGGUACCAGCGGCGCACGGGUGAGUAACACGUGGGUAAUCUACCCCUCGGAGGGGGAUAACCGGGGGAAACUCCGGCUAAUACCCCAUACGAUCCAACAACACAAGUUGUUGGAUGAAAGGAGCGUUUGCUCCGCCGAGGGAUGAGCCCGCGGCCCAUCAGGUAGUUGGUGGGGUAAUGGCCCACCAAGCCUACGACGGGUAGCCGGCCUGAGAGGGUGGUCGGCCACAAGGGCACUGAGACACGGGCCCUACUCCUACGGGAGGCAGCAGUGGGGAAUCUUGGACAAUGGGCGAAAGCCUGAUCCAGCGACGCCGCGUGGGGGAUGAAGCCCUUCGGGGUGUAAACCCCUGUUGCGAGGGAGGAAUAAGGCCUGGAGGAAAUGCCAGGCCGAUGACUGUACCUCGCGAGGAAGCCCCGGCUAACUACGUGCCAGCAGCCGCGGUAAUGCGUAGGGGGCGAGCGUUACCCGGAUUCACUGGGCGUAAAGCGGGUGUAGGCGGCUCGGUAAGUCGGGUGUGAAAUCCCACAGCUCAACUGUGGAAUUGCGCCCGAAACUGCUGAGCUUGGGGCCGGUAGAGGGAGACGGAACUGCCGGUGUAGGGGUGAAAUCCGUAGAUAUCGGCAGGAACGCCGGUGGGGAAGCCGGUCUCCUGGGCCGCGCCCGACGCUGAGACCCGAAAGCUAGGGGAGCAAACC